ACGCUCGACACCUACGAGAGGCAGCAGUAGGGAAUCUUCCACAAUGGGCGCAAGCCUGAUGGAGCAACACCGCGUGAGUGAAGAAGGGUUUCGGCUCGUAAAGCUCUGUUGUUGGAGAAGAACGUGCGUGAGAGUAACUGUUCACGCAGUGACGGUAUCCAACCAGAAAGUCACGGCUAACUACGCGCCAGCAGCCGCGGUAAUCUGAGCGGGCUGGCAAGGC
rnacentral:rRNA from 1 species